UGAACGCUAGCAGCAGGCCUCAUACAUGCAAGUCGAGGGGCAGCAGGACAUUUCGGUGUUGCUGGCGACCGGCGAACGGGUGCGUAACACGUAUGCAAUCUACCCUGUACUGGGGAAUAGCUCUCGGAAACGAGAAUUAAUACCCCAUAUCAUCCUAACAGCACAUGCUGAUAGGAAAAAAGCUCCGGCGGUACAAGAUGAGCAUGCGUCCCAUUAGCUAGUUGGUAAGGUAACGGCUUACCAAGGCCACGAUGGGUAGGGGUUCUGAGAGGAAGAUCCCCCACACUGGCACUGAGAUACGGGCCAGACUCCUACGGGAGGCAGCAGUAGGGAAUAUUGGUCAAUGGGCGCAAGCCUGAACCAGCCAUGCCGCGUGCAGGAUGAAGGCCCUCAGGGUCGUAAACUGCUUUUAUACGGGAACAAAAAGCUCCUGCGGGAGCCAUUGAGGGUACCGUAAGAAUAAGCACCGGCUAACUCC
rnacentral:rRNA from 1 species